CAGCAGCCGCGGUAAUACGAGGGGGGCAAGCGUUGUUCGGAAUUAUUGGGCGUAAAGGGUGCGUAGGCGGCUUGACAAGUCUUGUGUGAAAUCUAUGGGCUCAACCCAUAGUCUGCACGGGAAACUGUCGGGCUUGAGAAUGGGAGAGGUGAGUGGAAUUUCCGGUGUAGCGGUGAAAUGCGUAGAUAUCGGAAGGAACACCUGUGGCGAAAGCGGCUCACUGGACCAUUUCUGACGCUGAUGCACGAAAGCUAGGGGAGCAAACAGGAUUAGAUACCCCAGUAGUCCCUGUCUCUUAUAA
rnacentral:rRNA from 1 species